GAUGAACGCUAGCUACAGGCUUACCACCUGCAAGUCGAGGGACCGGCGCACGGGUGAGUAACACGUAUCCACCCUGCCCUUUACUCGGGGAUAGCCUUUCGAAAGCAAGAUUAAUCCCCGCUGUCAAGGAUGGGGAUGCGUUCCAUUCGGUUGUUUGUGAGGUAACGGCUCACCAAGCCUUCGAUGGAUAGGGGUUCUGUGAGGAAGGUCCCCCACAUUGGAACGGAGACACGGUCCAAACUCCUACGGGAGGCAGCAGUGAGGAAUAUUUGUCAAUGGGCGUUAGCCUGAACCAGCCAAGUAGCGUGAAGGAUGAAGGCUUAUGGGUCGUAAACUUCUUUUAUAUAAGAAUAUGUAUUAUAUGAAUAAGGAUCGGCUAACUCCGUGCCAGCAGCCGCGGUAAUAC
rnacentral:rRNA from 1 species